AACGAACGCUGGCGGCAUGCCUAACACAUGCCAGUCGAACGAGACCUCCGGGUCUAGUGGCGCACGGGUGCGUAACGCGUGGGAACCUGCCCUUAGGUUCGGAAUAACUCCCCGAAAGGGGUGCUAAUACCGGAUAAUGUCUUCGGACCAAAGAUUUAUCGCCUUUGGAUGGGCCCGCGUUGGAUUAGCUAGUUGGUAGGGUAAAAGCCUACCAAGGCGACGAUCCAUAGCUGGUCUGAGAGGAUGAUCAGCCACACUGGGACUGAGACACGGCCCAGACUCCUACGGGAGGCAGCAGUGGGGAAUAUUGGACAAUGGGCGAAAGCCUGAUCCAGCAAUGCCGCGUGAGUGAUGAAGGCCUUAGGGUUGUAAAGCUCUUUUACCCGGGAUGAUAAUGACAGUACCGGGAGAAUAAGCUCCGGCUAACUCCGUG
rnacentral:rRNA from 1 species